UACUUUAAUUUUAAAUGCCCGCUUGCUUCUUCGUCGAUCGCUCACUCCAUCGAAUCGAUCACGGAGAGGAAACGAAGUGAGCGAAGAAUCCGAUCGAGAACGAGGAGCAUGUAAUCGAGAUCGAACGGCGGCGAUGCUGUUGAUGGCUGGGCUGGCGGAGGCCGGCGACCACAACGGCGUUUUCGGCCCGUGCGACGACGCGAUGGUCCGGCCGCAGGAGGGAUUCACCCUUGGGAUUCCCUUCUCCGACAUCAGCAGGUUCUACCUCAACCAGUAAUGGACCUUGCAGCUCUCCCCCUGCGAUCUUCCGCCCAAUGGUCGACGAGAUCUCACUCUUCACCGUCAACAACACCACCAACCCUUCCUUAUCAACUUAUCAUGGCAGAGGAGAGCUGAGACCUUCCUGUAAAGCCAUGGGAUGCUGUGGUUGGUACCUUGAUGACACUGAACUCAGCCUCUUCCUUAAGGAAGGUUUCUUUAUCACCUGCUUUACAGUAGCUCUUGCAUACAUCAUCUGAAAGAGUGGAGAUGCCUUCUCUCUCAGCUUCAGAAUGAGAAAGAAGAUGGUUCUGUAUGAAAUGAGCAGCACAAACAAAGCCAUCAAAUCUAGCCACUUGGAAUGCUUCAAACUGACCCCGAGCAUGUGUUCGAUUAUGUAUGUUCCUCUCAGUUUGGGGCUUCCAGGUACUAACGGGUCAAACUCGAGUCCGAUCAGAUCAUUCUUGAGGUUUCCCUACGCACAGAAGGUUUCUCACUUGCAAUGCCCAUGAUCCGUAGCUGAAAAUUGAAACAGGAUAUCGCCAAACAAUCUUGGGAAGCUCCGGCAGUAAUCGAAAAAAGCCUGCAGUCAUCAUCAUAAUUCCCUGAAAUUUAGAAUGCAAAAUCAAAGUGGUUACACAAUGUGCAUAAAUAUAUGAUCCUUCCCCAAAUGCCUGUAAAAGAGUUGCUUACAAUGAGGCCAGCUCCAGUUAUGAUACCCAUCAAAUAAUUAGGCACAAGUGAUGCCACAAUCAUCAUUAGGCUCUCUAUGUCAGCAAUGCCAGCAUAGAGAGUGAGAGUAUAGUAAGCAAAGUGAGAGAAGCCCGUCCUAAACUUCACCAUGUAGUAUGUUAUUGAACCACUGGAGAGAGCUAUGGCCCCCAAGAAAGGUGCUGAAGACAGAAAAUUGGAGAGUGUGUACACUGCAACUCCAUAAUGGCCAUUGCGCCUUUCACGUUUGAAGACCUUCAUCUCUUCAAUGAAGGAUGGGAAGCCGCCGAUGGACAUGAAUGUGAGGAAGCCUGAAACGAAGCCCCCGCAAGAAGAUCUUGCUAGAAUGGCUGUGUAGCUCGUGCCAACAUCAAAGAAAAUGGUGCCCACGCACACAGAGACCAGCAUAUAAACGAUGAUCCUUAGCCAAUAGUAUCCAAUGUCCCUGGACAUGUUCACAGAGGAUCUCUUUGUGAGAAUUGUGAGCUGCUUCCACCAAGUGGCCUGGCUACCUUUCUCUGAUUCAACUGUGAGUCCUUCCUUCAAUGAAAGAAAAAUACAAGAAAAUGUUUUUAUUUGUUUACAGCUACGAAAAAAGGUGAAUUUGAGUUAUAAAUAAGAAGCUUACAAUCUUGCAUAUCUCUUGAAUCUGCUUUUUGGUAUCCAUGGCAUACUCUGAGCAUUUGUAUGCAUCAAUGAGGAUUCCUUUAAUCUGUGCAGUAGCUAAUUUUGACAAA